GGCCACCACAUGCCUUGUACAGAGGCUCUGCCAGAAACGGAGCUACUCAGCAGUCCUGGAACUGGCAGGCACCAGGGCCCACCAAGUGCUUCAUGGUGGAAUGUCAUCUUGGUUACCUUCAUGUUGAAAGGCCUGCCCACUCUAGGAGGUGCCAUUCCCUGGAAAGGAUACGGACAAACUGUGUAACCAGGAGUUGGACAGCAUAUGUUCAUUGUGUUCAUUGAGGAUGUGAGAAUUUAUCUGCAAGAUUUUGCAUUUGAGGUUUCAGAGUACAUUUAUGAAGUGGAAACUUAGAAAGUCGGUUGUGUCGGCUGAUGGUGUUUUGGAACUGCCUCCACUGACCUGUGAUCUG
rnacentral:lncRNA from 1 species